rnacentral:rRNA from 1 species
AUACGUAGGGUGCAAGCGUUAUCCGGAAUUAUUGGGCGUAAAGGGCCCGUAGGCGGUUCGUCGCGUCCGGUGUGAAAGUCCAUCGCUUAACGGUGGGUCCGCGCCGGGUACGGGCGGGCUUGAGUGCGGUAGGGGAGACUGGAAUUCCCGGUGUAACGGUGGAAUGUGUAGAUAUCGGGAAGAACACCAAUGGCGAAGGCAGGUCUCUGGGCCGUUACUGACGCUGAGGAGCGAAAGCGUGGGGAGCGAACAGGAUUAGAUACCCUGGUAGUCCACGCCGUAAACGGUGGAUGCUGGAUGUGGGGCCCGUUCCACGGGUUCCGUGUCGGAGCUAACGCGUUAAGCAUCCCGCCUGGGGAGUACGGCCGCAAGGCUAAAACUCAAAGAAAUUGACGGGGGCCCGCACAAGCGGCGGAGCAUGCGGAUUAAUUCGAUGCAACGCGAAGAACCUUACCUGGGCUUGACAUGUUCCCGACGAUCCCAGAGAUGGGGUUUCCCUUCGGGGCGGGUUCACAGGUGGUGCAUGGUCGUCGUCAGCUCGUGUCGUGAGAUGUUGGGUUAAGUCCCGCAACGAGCGCAACCCUCGCCCCGUGUUGCCAGCGGAUUGUGCCGGGAACUCACGGGGGACCGCCGGGGUUAACUCGGAGGAAGGUGGGGAUGACGUCAGAUCAUCAUGCCCCUUACGUCCAGGGCUUCACGCAUGCUACAAUGGCCGGUACAACGGGAUGCGACAGCGCGAGCUGGAGCGGAUCCCUGAAAACCGGUCUCAGUUCGGAUCGCAGUCUGCAACUCGACUGCGUGAAGGCGGAGUCGCUAGUAAUCGCGAAUCAGCAACGUCGCGGUGAAUGCGUUCCCGGGCCUUGUACACACCGCCCGUCAAGUCAUGAAAGUGGGCAGCUCCCGAAGCCGGUGGCCUAACCCCUUGUGGGAUGGAGCCGUCUAAGGUGAGGCUCGUGAUUGGGACU